AAUGUUUUACACGGCCUGUACUGUACUCUCUAUGGGCUACAGGGUUUGUAGUAGUACGUGUGUCUUAUUAACUGGGGGUGCAAUAACUGAAAUCGGCCGGUGCCUUUUCUGACGUACUAAGUUUGUAUCACCUACAUCUAGUGCAUCCAAACACACCUUCUAAAAGUGAUGAGGGUAGGUAAUCCAUGAUCUAGCUAUAGAGAUGUGGUGUUCUCGUUGAGCUAUAUGCCAUGUUUGGCUAUACAAACUGCCAAACA
rnacentral:lncRNA from 1 species